GUUAUAGUUGAAUUUUUUCUUGUGAAUCGGGCGUCUAAGUCUUUUGGAAAAGAAAGUUGAGCCUUGGGGAGCAGAUGGUAGGUUUAUAUGGAACUUCAUUAGAUUCUAAUUGGGGCAUUGGUACAGUUGGAGGUCAGCAGCCAUAAGCCGAAUAUGUUCUGAAAGGUGAAUGUAGGCCUGGCCACUGGUCCAGUCCGGGCUGGAACCAGCGGUUCAGUGAUUAGGGAGGGGUUGAACCAGAAAUGGAC
rnacentral:misc_RNA from 1 species